CCGCGGGGGCCGCGCUGUGCCGCCCCGGGGCGGCCUCGUCCCGCUCCCGGCGGACGCGAUGGCGCGGAUCACGCUGGAGGACCUGGAGCGGCUGGGCGAGGAGCCCGCGGCCGCCGACGGGGACGGCGGCGACAGCGAGGACGACCAGGAGGGGGAAGCGCGGCUGUUCGCCCACUGGGAGGCCGUGGCCGGCACACACCGAGUGAGCCUGCCCCGAGAGAUGGCAGGCCCGAUCGCCCAGAUGGUCCGGCACAGCCAGGCUCGCGAGCCCGUGCCGUACGUGUCCCUCUCGCAGCACGGGAAGGUGAGGCCUGACCCUCUCCGCUUCUCGCCCGCUGCCCGCCCGUGCUGGGGCUGCCUCGGGUGCUGCCGCCAGCCCGGGCCGUAGGAAGAGCCUGUCCGUGGCUCCCUCGUGUCGGCAUGCGCGCACCAGCCUCGCCGGGGUUCCUGCAGCACCGCUCCCGGGAGGGCGCCUCUGGAUCGGUGCCGUAUUCUGCCACUGCUGCACCUCCUCUUGUGUAGAGUCAUGGCAAUGCUCAGCUUCCCGGCCUUUACUUUAAAAUCAGACAAGUCGUGCUGCUUUCUCUGGUCUUCUGACUUACAGCUGCCUCCUUUACCAGCCUAUCCUCUUGCUGGGGUGGGCACAUCUAAGAAAGUGAACUUGUAGUUCAGAGCCUGCUCCCUGCCGUUCUCCAAACACUUUGUUGCAUAGCUCGAAGUCCUACUGGCUUUGUGUUUGUGCUGGUUCUGUUGGCUGGUUGAGCUGGAGCUUUCAGCUGGCACAAGAUAAAGGUAUGUCUGUGGGGAACGCAGGGCCUGAGACCCUGGCUGUCAGACGGGACCAUGUGCUGUUUUUUGUCUCAACCACCAAUCCAAACAUAGUAUCUCUUGACUGAAGAUCUUCUCUUUGUGCUGGCUAUGUUGCACGCUUACUUUCAUCUCUUGCACAAAAGGGUGUUUCUGUUCUUAUAGAAAUAACUGCCUGUCAGACUGGUUCUUGUGUCUCUGCAGGCCUAGUUGGGCUUUCUACCAAGAAGACAUCUGUCAAUUGUCCUCUAUAUGAGAAAUGGUUAACCAAUUUCUUCUGGGCUGAGGUCCAGCACGCCCUGUAAAACAUGUCUGAGCAUGUGGCUUCUGCAACUCUGAGCUGGGGCUUCACCACCCUCCCUCUUUCCUUGUUCUGAGUCCCAGGGACUUUGUGCCAGUCCCAGGCAGGAAUGGGGCCCCAGGAUUUUGUGGGAACUGGAGAUCUUUUGUUGUUGUUGGCAUCCCAUCUGUCCCUGAGGAGGAUUCUUGGAGUGUGAGGCGGAGUGAGAAGAGCCACUGUCUGACAUCAGCGCUGAGGGAACUUUGAAGCUGGGGCUCCUAGGGACACGUUUGCCAGGUCAGGCAGAUCAGUAGUAUUUGGUUGCUUUUCCUGAGCUACCAGUGCUACAAGCCCUCAUCCUCUUGGAAGCAAGUGAAUUAUUAUGCCGCCUACAGCACUCUGCUCUGUCAGCACUCAGCCCCCAGCUCAGUCUCAGGGCUAAGUUCCCCAGCUCACAUUGCAGGGACCUGUUGCUGCUGCAUCUGCGUGAAGCAUCUUUCCUCUUUCUUUUGGACAAGUGUCAUCCUGAGUGGUGGUGCUUAGGAUAAGGAUCAGGCUGUGGCACAACCAGAAGCUGUGACUUCACUGUAUUGGUUUGUUUAUUGCAGGUGGCAUGGCAGAUGAGAGUUGCAGAUAGAGUAGAGGGAUUGGCGAUUUCCUUGCCUGGAAAAUGCUCUUGCUCUGCUCUGCUUUGCUUGGUGGAACAAUAGCAGGCAUGCCCACGGUGUUUUGGGGUACUCUUCUUACUGGCAUCCCACUGAUGCACACAAGCAGGCCUCCGUAGAACAAGUUUGCCUCAUGGCCACUUGAAUCUGGAUGAAGAACAAGCUGAGAGUAGGAGGACAGGUGCUGGUUACAACUUCCCAGCCCCUGUUUAGGUUACCUGUGGUCACAGACAUGCCAUGAGCUGACCUAUGAACAUACCCAGAUGCAAUUUCCCCACUCCCCUUGCCCCGCUCCUGUGUCAGGUUUGUCCAGAAUACUGGACAUUCUGUGUUGGAAAUAGGGAUUUUCACCCAUGCCACAAAAUUCCACAGCUGGGUUCAUGUCUCUUCUUCCUGUCACUUCUUGGUAUGGGAGAAGGAUCUGAGGAAUUUUAUUCCAGUCUUCACAACUCUUCUGGGUGCUAGAGCUCUUCUGCCAGAUUUUCUCUUCUACUGGGCAGGGAUGUUUCUGUUAUCCUCUGUGCAAGCAGUGUUCCAGGGAAAAUGCACUGCACCUGAGAACAGCAUCAGCCUUACUGAAGACCUUUGGGUGCCUGGAAUCAGGAGCAUUCCCGUGAGUAGGCUGGACAGAGACCGAAGAGGAACUGGAAG
rnacentral:lncRNA from 1 species